rnacentral:rRNA from 1 species
GAGAAAAGCUCCUUCGGGGGCCGAGUAAAGUGGCGCACGGGUGAGUAACACGUGGGUAACCUACCCCGGGGCCCGGGACAACACUUCGAAAGAGGUGCUAAUACCGGGUGAGACCACGCCUUGUACGCGAGGUGAGGUAAGAGGUGGCCUCUCCAUGGAAGCUAUCGCCCUGGGAUGGGCCCGCGCCCCAUCAGCUUGUUGGUGAGGUAAAAGCUCACCAAGGCCGAGACGGGUAGCUGGUCUGAGAGGAUGUCCAGCCACACUGGAACUGAGACACGGUCCAGACUCCUAUGGGAGGCAGCAGUGGGGAAUAUUGCGCAAUGGGCGAAAGCCUGACGCAGCGACGCCGCGUGAGUGAUGAAGGCCCUCGGGUCGUAAAGCUCUGUGGGACGGGGACGAAAACGCGAGGAGAACAAUACCUCCUCGUCCUGACGGUACCUGUCCAGAAAGCACCGGCUAACUCCGUGCCAGCAGCCGCGGUAAUACGGAGGGUGCAAGCGUUGUUCGGAAUCAUUGGGCGUAAAGGGCGUGUAGGCGGGGUGAUAUGUCGGAUGUGAAAUCCCUCGGCUUAACCGAGGAACUGCAUCCGAAACGGUUACUCUUGAGUACGGGAGAGGGAAGCGGAAUUUCCAAUGUAGAGGUGAAAUUCGUAGAUAUUGGAAGGAACACCAGUGGCGAAGGCGGCUUCCUGGACCGAUACUGACGCUGAGACGCGAAAGCGUGGGGAGCAAACAGGAUUAGAUACCCUG